rnacentral:rRNA from 1 species
UACGGAGGGUGCAAGCGUUAUCCGGAUUUACUGGGUUUAAAGGGUGUGUAGGCGGGCUUUUAAGUCAGUGGUGAAAUCUCCGGGCUCAACCCGGAAACUGCCAUUGAUACUAUUAGUCUUGAAUUUUGUUGAGGUAGGCGGAAUAAGUCAUGUAGCGGUGAAAUGCUUAGGGAUGACAUAGAAUACCUAUUGCGAAGGCAGCUUACUACGCAGAUAUUGACGCUCAUGCACGAAAGCGUGGGGAUCAAACAGG